AUUGAACGCUGGCGGCAGGCCUAACACAUGCAAGUCGAGCGGCAGCACUUCGGGUGGCGAGCGGCGGACGGGUGAGUAACACGUAGGAAUCUACCUAGUAGUGGGGGAUAGCCCGGGGAAACUCGGAUUAAUACCGCAUACGCUCUACGGAGGAAAGGGGGCUUCGGCUCUCGCUAUUAGAUGAGCCUGCGUCGGAUUAGCUAGUUGGUGAGGUAAAGGCUCACCAAGGCGACGAUCCGUAACUGGUCUGGGAGGAUGAUCAGUCACACUGGAACUGAGACACGGUCCAGACUCCUACGGGAGGCAGCAGUGGGGAAUAUUGGACAAUGGGGGAAACCCUGAUCCAGCCAUGCCGCGUGUGUGAAGAAGGCCUCGGUUGUAAG
rnacentral:rRNA from 1 species